rnacentral:rRNA from 1 species
GACGAACGCUGGCGGCGUGCUUAACACAUGCAAGUCGAACGGUGAAGCGCCUUCCUUUUUGGUGGGUGUGGAUGAGUGGCGAACGGGUGAGUAACACGUGAGUAACCUGCCCCCUUCUUCUGGAUAACCGCAUGAAAGUGUGGCUAAUACGGGAUAUUCUGGGUCUGUCGCAUGAUGGGUCUGGGAAAGAUAUUGUUUCGGUGGGGGAUGGGCUCGCGGCCUAUCAGCUUGUUGGUGGGGUGAUGGCCUACCAAGGCGGUGACGGGUAGCCGGCCUGAGAGGGUGGACGGUCACACUGGGACUGAGACACGGCCCAGACUCCUACGCGAGGCAGCAGUGGGGAAUAUUGCACAAUGGGCGCAAGCCUGAUGCAGCGACGCCGCGUGAGGGAUGGAGGCCUUCGGGUUGUGAACCUCUUUCGCCAGUGAAGCAGGCCUGCCUCGUUUGUGGGUGGGUUGACGGUAGCUGGAGAAGAAGCGCCGGCUAACUACGUG